AGAGUUUGAUCAUGGCUCAGGACGAACGCUGGCGGCGUGCUUAACACAUGCAAGUCGAACGAUGACAGUGGGAGCUUGCUCCCGCUCGAUUAGUGGCGAACGGGUGAGUAACACGUGAGCAAUCUGCCCCUGACUCUGGGAUAAGCGUUGGAAACGACGUCUAAUACCGGAUACGAGCUAGAACCGCAUGGUCACUAGCUGGAAAGAACUUUGGUCAGGGAUGAGCUCGCGGCCUAUCAGCUUGUUGGUGAGGUAAUGGCUCACCAAGGCGACGACGGGUAGCCGGCCUGAGAGGGUGACCGGCCACACUGGGACUGAGACACGGCCCAGACUCCUACGGGAGGCAGCAGUGGGGAAUAUUGCACAAUGGGCGAAAGCCUGAUGCAGCAACGCCGCGUGAGGGACGAAGGCCUUCGGGUUGUAAACCUCUUUUAGCAGGGAAGAAGCGAAAGUGACAGUACCUGCAGAAAAAGCACCGGCUAACUACGUGCCAGCAGCCGCGGUAAUACGUAGGGUGCAAGCGUUGUCCGGAAUUAUUGGGCGUAAAGAGCUCGUAGGCGGUUUGUCGCGUCUGCUGUGAAAAUCCGAGGCUCAACCUCGGACCUGCAGUGGGUACGGGCAAACUAGAGUGCGGUAGGGGAGAUUGGAAUUCCUGGUGUAGCGGUGGAAUGCGCAGAUAUCAGGAGGAACACCAAUGGCGAAGGCAGAUCUCUGCGCCGUAACUGACGCUGAGGAGCGAAAGCGUGGGGAGCGAACAGGAUUAGAUACCCUGGUAGUCCACGCCGUAAANCGGUGGGAACUAGAUGUAGGGACCGUUCCACCGGUUUCUGUGUCGCAGCUAACCGCAUUAAGUUCCCCGCCUGGA
rnacentral:rRNA from 1 species